AACCUGGUUGAUCCUGCCAGUAGUCAUAUGCUUGUCUCAAAGAUUAAGCCAUGCAUGUCUAAGUAUAAGCAAUUAUACAGCGAAACUGCGAAUGGCUCAUUAUAUAAGUUAUCGUUUAUUUGAUAGUACCUUACUACUUGGAUAACCGUGGUAAUUCUAGAGCUAAUACAUGCUAAAAAUCCCGACUUCGGAAGGGAUGUAUUUAUUAGAUUAAAAACCAAUGCCCUUCGGGGCUCACUGGUGAUUCAUGAUAACUCCUCGAAUCGCAUGGCCUUGUGCCGGCGAUGGUUCAUUCAAAUUUCUUCCCUAUCAACUUUCGAUGUUUGGGUAUUGGCCAAACAUGGUUGCAACGGGUAACGGAGGGUUAGGGCUCGACCCCGGAGAAGGAGCCUGAGAAACGGCUACUACAUCCAAGGAAGGCAGCAGGCGCGCAAAUUACCAAUCCCGACACGGGGAGGUAGUGACAAUAAAUACUGAUACAGGGCUCUUUUGGGUCUUGUAAUUGGAAUGAGUACAAUUUAAAUCCCUUAACGAGGAACAAUUGGAGGGCAAGUCUGGUGCCAGCAGCCGCGGUAAUUCCAGCUCCAAUAGCGUAUAUUAAAGUUGUUGUGGUUAAAAAGCUCGUAGUUGAACCUUGGGCCUGGCUGGCCGGUCCGCCUCACCGCGUGUACUGGUCCGGCCGGGCCUUUCCCUCUGUGGAACCCCAUGCCCUUCACUGGGUGUGGCGGGGAAACAGGACUUUUACUGUGAAAAAAUUAGAGUGCUCCAGGCAGGCCUAUGCUCGAAUACAUUAGCAUGGAAUAAUAGAAUAGGACGUGUGGUUCUAUUUUGUUGGUUUCUAGGACCGCCGUA
rnacentral:rRNA from 1 species